rnacentral:rRNA from 1 species
AGCGAACGCUGGCGGCAGGCCUAACACAUGCAAGUCGAACGAACCCUUCGGGGUUAGUGGCGGACGGGUGAGUAACACGUGGGAACGUGCCUGUAGGUUCGGAAUAACUCAGGGAAACUUGUGCUAAUACCGAAUGUGCCCUUCGGGGGAAAGAUUUAUCGCCUUUAGAGCGGCCCGCGUCUGAUUAGCUAGUUGGUGAGGUAAUGGCUCACCAACGCUACGAUCAGUAGCUGGUCUGCGAGGAUGACCAGCCACAUUGGGACUGAGACACGGCCCACACUCCUACGAGAGGCAGCAGUGGGGAAUCUUGCGCAAUGGGCGAAAGCCUGACGCAGCCAUGCCGCGUGGAUGAUGAAGGUCUUAGGAUUGUAAAAUCCUUUCAGCGGGGACGAUAAUGACGGUACCCGCAGAAGAAGCCCCGGCUAACUUCGUGCCAGCCGCCGCGGUAAGAC